rnacentral:lncRNA from 1 species
CUCUCAUCCUGGACAUUAAUUAAUAUGUCAUGAUAUAGUCAUUGGUACAUACUUGGAAGAACACUGGUAACAUUUCAGGGAGGCUAAUAAAUCUAUCCAGAUAUUUUGAGUUGCAGUCAACAAAAAACUCAACUCAAGCUAGUUUAAACAAUAAAGUGAAUUUAAUGGUUCAUUUAACUGAAAAGUCCAGAGGUAGGUGGGUUUCAGGUACAGUUUCAUUGAGACUCUAGCUCCCUUUGUCUGCCGUUCCCUCAACUCUGCUAUCUCUAUUCACUUUGCCCUUAUGCCGAUUUUCUUCAUGGUAGCAAAACGGUUACAGCAGUUCUUGGUCUCAUCUGUUUUCUCCACAGUCUCAAAUGCACUGUGUCACUCUAAACUGGUUAAGUUUCUUGCCUUCCUCUAAAGGCUGCUCGGAAUCACAUGGGCAUAUGACCUAAGGAAAUCAGGGGCUUUGGGAAGUAAAAUGGGGAGUAUGUCCUGGGGAGGCAACCAACACGGUAACCGCGCAUGUCCUUACAGGAAAAGGAAACCUGGACGCAGGCACGUAUGAGGGAAGACAACGUGGAGAGGCAAGGAGAAGACGGCCACCUGCAAGCCAAGGAGAGAGGCCUGGAACACACUCUUACUUCAUGGCCCUCAGAAGAAGGCCACCCUGUCAACACCUUGAGCUCAGACUUCAGCCUCCAGAGCUGUGAAAAAAGAAAUUUCUGUUGUUUAAGCCCCUCAGUUUGGGGUAAUUUCUUAUGGUGGCCCUAGCAAAUGAAUACAGGUCCCAAAUAACUCUUCAGUUUGGCCAUAUUUCCCUUACCUCUAGGGACUAAUUUCUAAGUGCCAGUUGUUUUCUUGACACCAACCAUUCAAGGUGGGUGAAGAGGGUCUGACAGGGCAGGACACCUAAUGGGAGUUACCCAGCUGUUGAGGGGGACGCAGGUCUGCUGGUCAAAUCAUCUGUCCUCUAUGAACUCAAUUUCUUCCAUGGGAGAAAGAGAAAUGCAACUCCUCACAGUCAAGAGUUGGCCUGUCACUAGGCUGCGGUCGUGUCUCGUUGAACAUAAACAACUUCACAGAAUGUUCUCAUGAAACAAGGCCACUCACAAAUGUAUACCUGCUUCCUGACAGCACCCAAUCCACAACAAAUGCCUGCUUCUUGGAACCCCCACACCCUGGCCCAUAUAAUGACCUAACACAAACCCGAAUCCUACAACCAGUCCUUCUAGUGCUUUCUCAGGGAGACGUGUUUUCCAUAGCAUGCUGGCUCCCCUUGAGGCAGUGAGCCAAUGAACCCUAACUCUGUUCGUAGUUGUCUUUGAGACAUUAACAAGAGUUUUGACUUUAUUUUACAUAUACAUCAGUCAAUGGGGUACCCUCGCCCCCCACACUUCAGCCAGGACAAUUUAUACGGUUUAAUACACCUCUUACAACAUUGACUCUUAUUUUUAUUAUCAUUACAUGAACAGUUACUAACUUAUUAACCUUGAAUUUUUUAUCUCUUCAUUUAAUUUGGAAUUUCUUAAUAUAGAAUGUGGUAGGGGAGAGGAGGGCUCCCUUUCAAAACAGCAACAGUGGCCGGGUACAGUAGCUCACGCCUAUAAUUCCAUCACUUUGGGAGGCUGAGGGGAGACGAUCACUUGAGCUCAGGAUCUCACUGUCGAGGUUAUAGUGAGCUGUGAUCACACCACUGCACUCCAGCCUGGGUGUCAGAGUGAGACCUUGUCUCUAAAAAAAAAGAAAAAGAAAAAAAAAUAGCUAUAAGUUAUGAUAAGAGUUGUUUAAGGGUAAAGUUUAACUGUAUAGUGAGUUUAUUUAGCUGCUUAUGAGAGUGGAAUGAAUGCGAUCCUCCCACCUACGAAUAGGUCAAGAAUGUGCUUCAUGCCUUAUUCCCAAGGUAAUGCUGGUAUGGGUUGGUUUAAACGGCAUUCUGGAUGCCCUUUAGGGUUUUCUGUGAAAUCCUAAUGAACGAGCCAUUUUUGUGUAACCCAUUUUUAU